GUAAGUAGAGAUGUUGCUGACACAUCCCGGCCAAUCUCCAGCAGACCCUCCCUCCCAGACCCUCCUACUUCCUGGACAGCAUCCAUGUUGAAGGCAGCUCUCUGCUGGAGAUUGGCCGGGAUGUGUCAGCUGACCGG